GCCUUCUUAGCUCAGUGGUAGAGCGUUGCACUUGUAUAAAUAAAACCACCGAUCCGACAUGGUUGCGUAUAUUAAUGCAAAGGUCAGUCGUUCAAUCCGGCUAGGAGGCA